UGUUGGGGAUGACACUACUCGCCUGG
rnacentral:piRNA from 1 species